GGAAGUGUGGCUCAAGUGGUAGAGCUCCUGAGUAGCAAGCACGAGGCCCUGAGUUCAAACCCCAGUACCUUUG
rnacentral:tRNA from 1 species